rnacentral:rRNA from 1 species
CGAGCGCAACCCUUGUCUUAUGUGCCAGCACGUGAUGGUGGGGACUCGUAAGAGACUGCCGGGGUCAACUCGGAGGAAGGUGGGGACGACGUCAAGUCAUCAUGCCCCUUAUGUCCAGGGCUUCACACAUGCUACAAUGGCCAGUACAGAGGGCUGCGAGACCGUGAGGUGGAGCGAAUCCCUUAAAGCUGGUCUCAGUUCGGAUCGGGGUCUGCAACUCGACCCCGUGAAGUCGGAGUCGCUAGUAAUCGCAGAUCAGCAACGCUGCGGUGAAUACGUUCCCGGGCCUU